rnacentral:rRNA from 1 species
AUGGUUAGAAGAAGGAGGUGGCGAUCAACAGCUACUAGGGGGAUCGAGCAGUCGAAGAAGCUGGUGCGUGAGGAAGACACCGAGUGGAAGUGGUCUUGCUUCAGGCCAUGGGAGACGUACACCGCGGACAUGUCGAUCGAUCUGACCAAGCACCACGUGCCCAACACGAUGCUCGACAAGAUCGCCUACUACACCGUCAAGUCCCUGCGCUUCCCCACCGACAUCUUCUUCCAGGUACGCGCGCUUCCUGGUCUGGCGCCCCUGCUACAUGCACGAGUGCAAGCGUCACGUGGCCGUGAGCAGGCCAGUUCCACGCCAACAAGAUGA